ACGAACAAUUAAUAAGUAGUAUGUGUUCAUUACUUGAGUUCAUCCUUUGCACCCCUUGAAAUUGGCAUUGGAACUGCAGUUAGAGUUUUAUAUCAUUCUUGUAACUGACGUGUACAAACUGCCACAAUAAAGUUGUGACAUCCAUGUGCCUAAAAGUUUGUCUUUUCAUGCAUAUGCUCUAAAAAAUAACCCUUCAAUUUAUAAGGCGUUAGUAUUCUGUUCUAAGCAGCAAAUUUCUUAUGUUUGUUUAUUCUGCUAACCAAUGAAUAAUGCAUGCUUGUCUCUUUCCACAUUUAUUUUACUUCCAAGGUAGCUGAAGAACAUCAAGGUGAGGACCUGAACGUCAUGCUGUAGAUGUUGCAUAUGCUCGAGGAGGACAUUUGUUUUUUGAGGACAAUUUCCGGAUCUUGGGUGAUGCAAAGUUGACUGCAUGGGAACUGUGGUAGAAGCAGGAGUUCUCAUUCCUGAAAAUCGCAUAUUUUCGCAGAGUAGUGCCAAUAAAAGAGCAAAAUGUUAUUGCCGACAUACUUGAUGCUGCUCAAGAAGGAUGUGAGAUGGACUGGAGUAGGUUUUGCAG